GACGAACGCUGGCGGCGUGCUUGACACAUGCAAGUCGAACGGAAAGGCCCUGCUUUUGUGGGGUGCUCGAGUGGCGAACGGGUGAGUAACACGUGAGUAACCUGCCCUUGACUUUGGGAUAACUUCAGGAAACUGGGGCUAAUACCGGAUAGGAGCUCCUGCUGCAUGGUGGGGGUUGGAAAGUUUCGGCGGUUGGGGAUGGACUCGCGGCUUAUCAGCUUGUUGGUGGGGUAGUGGCUUACCAAGGCUUUGACGGGUAGCCGGCCUGAGAGGGUGACCGGCCACAUUGGGACUGAGAUCCGGCCCAGACUCCUACGGGAGGCAGCAGUGGGGAAUAUUGCACAAUGGGCGGAAGCCUGAUUCAGCAACGCCGCGUGCGGGAUGACGGCCUUCGGGUUGUAAACCGCUUUCGCCUGUGACGAAGCGUGAGUGACGGUAAUGGGUAAAGAAGCACCGGCUAACUACGUGCCAGCCGCCGCCGUAACAC
rnacentral:rRNA from 1 species